GGUCAUGAGAAAAUAAUUUGUGGGUUAAAUAAUUUAGUUACUACAAUAAAGGAAAAGUAGUAGAAGGGAGUAGGUCCCGCCGGUUACAGGGAAAAUGAUCAACUCAUCUGGAAAAGUACAUAACCGUCAUACCUUUUUUAUAUGUGGUGGUUAUCAUAUAAAAUUUUUUUUAUGUAUUGUUGAAAUAAUAGUUGAUCCGCACAACCGUACCAGUGAUUAUUUUAUUUUUACACACAUAAUUAGUUGUUUUACAUGAUUAAUUGUAAUAUUUACCAUAUUACUAAUUGUUUAAUAUAACAUUUUAAUACACAACAAUUUUAUAGUUCACAUGCAAUAAUUUAAUUUUUUUUUUUUUAAUUUUUCAUAUUUUAAAUCAUGUGAUACAAAAUUCUAAAUUGAAAAAUUUUACUGGUGAAAGAUCAAAAAAAAUAUUGAAAAUAUUAUAUUAAAUUAAUAUCGCAGAUUAAUACAAAAAUGUACAUGUGUUUAGUUAUAAUUAGAAAAUUAGUUAGAUAUUUUAAAAUUUCGUUUUAGUUAAAAUAAAUAUAAAUUUAAUUUUAAAAUAAACACGACAUUAACUAAAUAUUUAAAAGUUUUGUUUAAAUGAAAAUCGAAUAUACAUUUAUGUUAAACAAACACGAAAUUACUUAAAUAUUUAAAAGGUUUAUUUUAAUAAAAAAUGUUAUAUAUAUUUAUAUUUAUAUUGUAAAUAAAAAGAUAUAAAAAUAUUUUAUUCAGAUAUAAUUUUAGAGUAAAUAUAGGAAUAUCUAUUUGAUUUGUUUGUCUUAGAAUAAUUCAAAUAAUUUAAAUAUUUAUACAAAAAUUAAUUUUAACAACUUUCUAAGGAGUGAUUCAAAUUAAAAAAUCACACAUGAAUUAAAUCAUGACUUCUCUUUUAAUAUUUAUAAUAGAUACUACUGUUUUAAUAGAAUAUUAGAUCUUGACCCGCGCUACAAAGCGCGGGUAUAUUGUUUGUUUUGUUUUUUCGGUAUAUUUUUUAUAUAUAGCUUAAAAUGAAUAUCACCCCGUUCCUGGUUGAACAAAAAAAAAGAAUAUCACCCGUUCCACAUUCAUAAAAUCAGUUAAAUGUAAAAAGUAGUUAAAUGAAAUAGGUAUGUGUUUUGCUCGUAGGAAGCAACAAAUAUAUCAAUAUACAAUUUAGUUAUCAAUAUUAUUUAGUAUAUGAACUUUAAGAUUUUUAAAAUAAUUUCAAUGGGUUAUUCGAACCAGAACUAAAAUUUAAAAAUAUCUGAAUGAGGCUAAAAUAUUAAACUCCGAAAACCCAAAAUCCGAAUUAGAUCCUAACCAAAUCGGAAUGAGUAAUCGAACGACCACCCCUAAUUUAUGUAUAAGAUAUUGUAUAAGUUUAGACACAUUUAUCCAGAACCAAAAAACUAAAACCAAAUGUAAACCUAAUUCAUAAAUAAUCAAGUGAAUCAUAUAUCUCUGGAACCAAAAAAUUGAAUUGAACGGAACCAAACCGCUAACCAAAUAGGUAUCCAAAAUUUUAAAAUGGAAUUAUAUACCCACAAAUAUUAAUUAUACUUAAUUUUUAAAUAGUUAAAUAUACUAAAAAUACUAUUUAUUAACAAAAUUACCUGAAUAUUUUUAUCCAUAAAUUUAAAAUUAUCUAAAUUAUUUGAUAUUUUUAUUCAAACCGUUCGAUAUUUAAAGCUGGUAUAAUUAUUUAUUUAUUUGUAAACAUAGUAAUUGAUACUAUGAAUAUAAAUGCUAUUAAUUGUUAUUGAUAAUGUAUAUACAGAAUGGUAUCAAGCAUGCGAAAAUCAAAGCAUCUAAUAGAUGAAUUGGUUGCUGUCAAUGAUUGUAGUCGAAUACUUUUUCCACUCAAAGUAAUGCAUCCCGAAAUGAUAGGAAGUAAAGGGAAGAAAAAGUUAUUUUUUUUCAUUUUUUUUUCAUCGGGAGGUUAUAUAAUACCAAGGGAAGAGGAGGUUAUAAUAUAUAUAUACAUGUCAUGGCAGUUAAAUUUUUAAGAAAGUGGGUUAUAAAUAAUUGGAUCAAACAAAUAUCAAUUGGUCAUACAGGAGUUUUAAUAGAAUAGAUGUACAAGCAGAAAAGAAAACACUCUCUCGUAUUCAGCGGGUUUUGAAUAAAGCUUAACCGACAAUAGUCCUAAACCUGAAGUCGAGCAAGUCUUUGGUUCUUGCCUUUAGGUAGUUCGAUGUUCAGCUAGAGUGUGAGAAGAAGAAGCCAACUUUCUCUGAUUUUCCAUUCUCGUGGUCAGUUUUAUCUCGUUCGAUUUCGUCGUUAUCUUAUUCGAAAGUCUGAAUCUUCUUGGCGUCCGUGAAGCAUUUUUUUUUGCCUGGAAAGUGACUUGAAUCGGCCAAGGAAGAAGAGGGGAUUGUUCAGUCGUUGUCUUGCCAUGGUACCACUAGGUUUAGCUUGAUGAUGGGUUUGGUUUCUAUUAGCACAGUCAUCUUUAUUCGAUCAUUGAUCUUGUUUGCUCCGUGUGAAGCGCAUGAAAGGCACUUACUUUAUCCAAUGCGAUCCCACAGAGACUGUUUUGGAUGUUAAAGCAAAAACGGUUUACCCAACCAGUUAGCAAUCAGCGUCUCAUCUUAAUGUCGACAUUGCACAGCACAUGGACUUGGUGCAUUUAGAGAUCACCAUGACUGCGGAAGGAUCAACACUUGGAGUACAAAGAUUGGGAGGAAGAGAGAUGCAUGAUCCUGUUGUUUUGCUUUUGUAUGAUUUUACCUACUCUCAUUAUCCUGACUUACUGUAUUCUUUAUGCAAGGAAGAUAUACUAAUUAGCUCAAAUGGAAAAAAUUCCAACAUAUAAACGUAGCAAAAAGUACUUUCAUUUUCUACAAAAUA